rnacentral:rRNA from 1 species
UACGUAGGGUGCAAGCGUUGUCCGGAAUUAUUGGGCGUAAAGAGCUCGUAGGCGGUUUGUCGCGUCUGCUGUGAAAUCCCGAGGCUCAACCUCGGGCCUGUAGUGGGUACGGGCAGACUAGAGUGCGGUAGGGGAGAUUGGAAUUCCUGGUGUAGCGGUGGAAUGCGCAGAUAUCAGGAGGAACACCGAUGGCGAAGGCAGCUCGCUGGGACGGUACUGACGCUGAGACGCGAAAGCGUGGGGAGCGAACAGG